rfam:Picoides pubescens contig10803, whole genome shotgun sequence.
GUGCAUGCUGGGCUACACUUCAUGAAAUGGAGCUCAGGAGCAACCAAUUGCUUAGCUCCUCCUAACAUGUCCAACUGGCUAUGAAAAGCUGGAGGUGCUGCACAGAACAAUGAAGAGGAGCUAUCCCACAUAUUAAUCUGCUUAUCAAGGAUUGCCUUCUGUAUAGGUUAAUGGGAAGCAUGUAAAAGGGGGGGGGGGGGGGAAGAGGGGGGGAAAAAAAGGGGGGGAAA